UUAUAUUAAAGUGGAAUAUCUUUACUUACUUUCUGAUUUUGAUAGAGAAGGUACCAAUUUUAUUAAAGGGGAGAGAUUUAGAACGUGAGAAUUCAAUUCUAGAAAUGCUCUUUUAUUGCAGCAACUUUUUUUUUGUCAUGGGCUACUAAAUAUUAUUUCCAACAAAAGGAUAAUUAAAGUUGGGUUCUUUUUUUUUUUUUUUUUUUUUUUGAGAUGAAUUGAAGUUGAGUUCUUCAAAAAUGGUGAGAUCCAAUUAAUUUUUAUUGCUUUUUUAUUCUUUGGUAUUUGCAUCAUAAAUACCUAAGGUUUUUGGUCUAAAAAAUUCGUAAGCAAAAAUGUGGAAUGUUACAGUCCUUACUUCUGUCACUACUAGGUCUAUUAGAUACACUAGGGGCUGAUUAGGAUGCUAUGUGUUCUACUAUUGGCCUACAUCAUAUAUUUUUUUUAAAUAAAAAUCUUAUUAAUUAAUUUUAAAAAUAAUUGAUUUUAAAGUAGAAAAGUAAUUUAAAAAUAUUUAAAUAAAAAAAUAAAAUAAGAUUAAUAGUAAAACUUAAUUAACGAAAAAAAAACGGAAACAAAUUUUUAAACAAAUCAAAGGGAUUUUUAAGCAAUUGAGAAUAGGAGAGAGGGAGGUCGACAAAUCUCGACAAAUCGAGAAAUAGAGGAGAGAUGGAUCGAGAAAGAGAGGGAGACAACAAGCUAAGUUCAGAAUCUAGAUCUUGGAAGACACAUGGCCGAGGAAGAGAACUUCGUCGGGGAUCUGGUAAGACACACUGUCAGAGAUCUGUCGACGGGAUCGUCGGGGAUCUGGGUGCUUCGAGCAUCAGGCGCCAUGGUUAGAGAUCUGGGUUGGGGUUUUAUGGCGAUGCUAGGAUACGCACGACACCAUUGAAGAUAGCGACGCGAUGAAGAUGAUCUAGGUUGGGUUGGGGUUUUAGGAACUUUUUCUUUCUUUCUGAAUAUGAGACAUGAACUAUUGUUAGGCACUUUGUUUAGAUGAUAAAGAUGAUGGUGAUGAUUUGGGUCAGGUUGGGGUUUUAUGAACUUUUUUUCUCUUUCUUGUUUUUGAUAAAUUUGAGCAUGAGCCAUUUAGUUCUAGGUUUUAAUUUGUUUUGAUUAAAGAAAUUUUUAAAUGAAAUCAACUAUGUAACAUAUAUAUAUCUGAAAUGAACUACAAUUUGAGCA